GACGAACGCUGGCGGCGUGCUUAACACAUGCAAGUCGAACGGAAAGGCCCUGCUUUUGUGGGGUGCUCGAGUGGCGAACGGGUGAGUAACACGUGAGUAACCUGCCCUUGACUUUGGGAUAACUUCAGGAAACUGGGGCUAAUACCGGAUAGGAGCUCCUGCUGCAUGGCGGGGGUUGGAAAGUUUCGGCGGUUGGGGAUGGACUCGCGGCUUAUCAGCUUGUUGGUGGGGUAGUGGCUUACCAAGGCUUUGACGGGUAGCCGGCCUGAGAGGGUGACCGGCCACAUUGGGACUGAGAUACGGCCCAGACUCCUACGGGAGGCAGCAGUGGGGAAUAUUGCACAAUGGGCGGAAGCCUGAUGCAGCAACGCCGCGUGCGGGAUGACGGCCUUCGGAUUGUAAACCGCUUUCGCCUGUGACGAAGCGUGAGUGACGGUAAUGGGUAAAGAAGCACCGGCUAACUACGUG
rnacentral:rRNA from 1 species